ACAUACUUCUUUAUAUACCCAUAUGAACUUAACAGCUAUGGAAUGUAAAGAAGUAUGUAU
rnacentral:pre_miRNA from 1 species